GGACCAUCCUGGCCUGUGUUAAAAGGCCAUCAGGACCUAAAAAUGACUGCUACAGGAUCUGAGACCUCAUCAGGACCCCUCCUGGCUUUCUGGAGAAGCACAUGAGAUUCAGGAAAUAGAAGCAUACAUCCUGGGAAAACCCCAAACUUCAGGAACCAACCUUUGGACAUCAGACAGCAGCAGCCAGGCGCCUCACACACCCUCUUCCAGAAGGGGUCACCUGGCUGUAACCUGAAGAACCUUCUAGGAGGAAACAGCAAGAGCCAUGACAACCACUGGUCUUACUACUGGAUGAAGAGCAAGAGAAGAUGAGGAACAGGGUAUUUGUGGAUGACACAGUCAUACAUCUGCCUUUUUAUAGUGCUUCGCAGCAGAGCACAAGACCUUCUGGCUGACACCUCAUACAUCAUCAAAAUUAAGACCUCCAGGCAAGCAGAUGAAAGUAGGACGGGGUGCGGUGGGGCCAGCAACUGGGGAUGACUCUGAUGGCUCCCAAGUUAACGUGCCUUUAGAGAGAGACUGUUUCCAUUAAGGAGCAAAUUAUUCUUAACAUUAAGACAUCUUUGUUUCCAUGACGACCCACAACAACCUGAAAGGGAUGGUCCGUGGUGGCCAUACGGCCAAGUGAUGCUUUCGAUCUCAUCAGUGGCUGGUGGAGAUGAAUUCAGGGAUGAGGGUCAGCCAGCCAGGGCUCAGCCUCCAACUGCUGGGCAUUCAACACCCAGCUCUCCUGUGUUAAAGUCAGAAGAAACCUGGAAAUCUGCAAGCCAAGAUGAGAGCAGGUCCCCCAUUUUUGUUGGGUUGGGGGGUGCUGCUCUGGGUCCUUAUUGCGGUCUGCAGGUUUCCCUUGUGGAGCACGGGCUCCAGAGUAUGUGCAGGCUUCA